UACGUAGGGGGCUAGCGUUGUCCGGAUUUAUUGGGCGUAAAGAGCGUGUAGGCGGCCAGGUAGGUCUGGUGUGAAAACUCGAGGCUUAACCUCGAGAUGUCAUCGGAAACCAUCUGGCUAGAGUCCGGAAGAGGAGAGUGGAAUUCCUGGUGUAGCGGUGAAAUGCGCAGAUAUCAGGAAGAACACCAAUGGCGAAAGCAGUCCCCUGGGCCUGUACUGACGCUCAUGCACGAAAGCGUGGGGAGCAAACAGG
rnacentral:rRNA from 1 species